CCUACGGGAGGCAGCAGUGGGGAAUAUUUCACAAUGGGGGAAACCCUGAUGCAGCGACGCCGCGUGAGUGAAGAAGUAUUUCGGUACGUAAAGCUCUAUCAGCAGGGAAGAAAAUGACGGUACCUGACUAAGAAGCCCCGGCUAACUACGUGCCAGCAGCCGCGGUAAUACGUAGGGGGCAAGCGUUAUCCGGAUUUACUGGGUGUAAAGGGAGCGUAGACGGCAGCGCAAGUCUGGAGUGAAAUCCCAUGGCUUAACCAUGGAACUGCUUUGGAAACUGUGCAGCUAGAGUGCAGGAGAGGUAAGCGGAAUUCCUAGUGUAGCGGUGAAAUGCGUAGAUAUUAGGAGGAACACCAGUGGCGAAGGCGGCUUACUGGACUGUAACUGACGUUGAGGCUCGAAAGCGUGGGGAGCAAACAGGAUUAGAUACCCCUGUAGUC
rnacentral:rRNA from 1 species